CCUCAGCGACAGAAGCCC
rnacentral:snRNA from 1 species